rnacentral:lncRNA from 1 species
ACCUGGCAGGUGUCGUCAUGACAUGACAAAGGCUGGAUGACUUGAAAUAGUGAUGCUGAAAGAACUGAGAACUGGUGAUCCUUAAAGGGAAUAUUUCCCGGAAUUCAGGGCAAAAAAUACUGCCCUUUAAGUGGGACAAGAGUGCCAGCACUCGUGCAGAGAGAGGAGAGGUGGCAGCUAUCGAUAAUGAAAGAAAAAGUGAUGCAGCAAUUUGUAGUUCAAAAAUAAAUAAAAAUAACCCCAUGAUGUGAAAAAUGAACAUAUACUGAGUACUUGGGAUGUGCCCAGCACCACCCUACUUUAUAGAGGCCAGUUAGUUUCAUGCCACACCUGCCCUGGGAGGCGGGGACUGUUCCUGGCAGAUGCAGACACUGAGGCUUAGAGGUUCAGUUUGGUGCCUAGGAACGCAGGGCAUGGAAGCAGCAGCCCUGGGGGACCUGCUAAGCGCCUGGCCUGUGACCAGGGUGCUGAGAGGGGCGGGUUCCCUGGGAGUCACCUGGUGCCAGCACAGGGAGCCGGGCCUCUGUGCGGCGCUGGCCUGCGAUGCUGGAGUCGGGAAGCGUCACUGCAGUUUGCGGCCGGGCAGGAACGUGGGGGCCCACAGACUUCUCCUCUAAGAACGCUGUCCUCUGAUCAGGUCCCGCAUUUGACCAAGGAGUGUCUGGUGGCGCUGAGAUGCGGGAGAGAAUGCGCUGACCUGAAGGCGGCCCUGCGGCAGGAGUUCCGCAGCCUGGAAGAGAUCCUUGGCUAUCAGAACACCACCUUCUUCGGCGGAGACCACAUAACCAUGAUCGAUGACCUCUUCUGGCCCUGGUUCGAGCGGCUGGAUGUGUACGGGAUCGCAGAGCCCUCCUGGCUGCUGGCUCCUCCGUGUUGUGCCGAGUAAACAGUUCCCAGGUGCUACUCCCUGCCAGCUGGACAGAAAUGCGUCUGCGUGGUGAAGCUGGGCCGUCUGCAGUGCCAUCUGCUCCGGAUGUGGAGUCCCGUUGCCAUGGUACCCAAACUGAUGCGGGACAGAAUCUCACGAAGUCACUAAGUUGUACAGGCUGGGCUUGGAUUUAUGAUCCUCCUGCUUCAGCCUCCCAGGAUGCUGGGAUUGCAGAUGUACAUCACCCCGCCCAGCUCUCCUCUCUACAGAGGAAACUGAGUCACCGAUUUCUGGAUGAAACUAGAACUUAGCCCAUGGGAAAGAGAAGCGACUGAAUAACGCUCAAUGAGGAGCUUGCAUUGGGAGACUGGGGGCAGAAAUAAUACCAUAGGUUAAAAAAUACACAAAUAUACAAAUAGGAAAUCUGCUCUGAUCUGUGUCUCAGAGAUGACCACUUUUAACACCGGGUGUUAUCUUGUAAGAUGCCUUUCAAAGCUCAGGGUUGAGGGCAGGAGCUGCAUCUCCUGCAGACCGGAAGAGGAGAGAGUGCCGGUGUGGACCAUGUCAGCAGCAGAGUCAGCUGCGGCUGCCCUGCCUCCGAAGCUCUGAGCUGGAGCCCAGCUGGCCCAGUCCGGUUCCGUCCAGCGGAGGAGGGCGUCCCUGGCGCCUGGGUGUUUUGGAAACUCCUUCUGGCACUCGCAUUCCCUGACCCCAGAUGACAGAAGUGGCUCUGACAGCUGCAGGGCACUUGACAUACAUUGUGGGUCACAGGCGAGAGCUCCCCUUCCGUGCUGCGGGGCUGCCUGCCCGGGGCUGGCUUGGGAGUGGUCUCUCCCCUGAUUUCUCACCUUCAGCCCUGUCCUUCGCCAGAGUCACAGCCUCCUUGAUGGAGGGAACUGGGCUGCUGGGUGGUGAGAGCCAGGCUCCCCUCCCCUGAGGCCAGACCAGCCUGCUUUGGUUUGUGAUUGGAAUUCUGAUUGACCCCAGGGCCAUGGUGCUGAGGUAUGUAUGCCCCAGCCAUUUACUUCUGUUGCUGCUCUUUUGAGACAGGGUCUUGCUAGUCACUACUCACCCAGGCUGGGCUCGGAUUUGUGAUCCUCCUGCUUCAGCCUCCUGAGUACUGGAACUAUAGGCGUGUGCCACCACGGCUGGCUGCAUACACUUCUUCACAGCCUUUCGAGGCAAACCCUAAUUACUCCCAUUUUACCGAGGAACAGCUGAGGCUUCAGAGUGGUGUAACUUACACAGAUGUCCCGUGGGUGGUGAUGCGCACAGCUGGAGCUUGGGUGGGACUGACCCCGGUCCUGUGUGCCCUUGACCGCUGCCCUCCUCCACCUCCCGUGGCCGUGAUGCCUCACCUCUGCCUUCCUGACCCCCCUGCUUCUCCCUGGACUGGGAGCCCUCUCUGGCCGGAUUGUGCCCCUCAGCUUCGUUUCCCCAGCCUGGUACACAGGAUAUGUGGCAGUGACAGCCUCCCAAUGUGUGUUUUGUGAAUGAGAAGUGCAGGGACAGGCUGGGGUGAGCGGAUGAAGGCAUGGACGUGCCCAGGGCCUGUCUGGCUGUCACAGCUGCCUCCCCUGUCCUGAGAGGAACCUGCCCGCCCAGAGCAGUGGGAGUGACCCGCUGGGUGCAGAAAUGACGGGACUCCCUGGGCAGUGCUGCUGGGACCCGAACACAGCCCAAGCUCAUCCUGCUGGGAGACCCCGAGGCCCAGUGGGCAGGCCCUGGCCCGGGUCCACCCUGAGGGGCCGGGAGGCAAGGCAGGUGCUCUACUCUUCUCCAUCCUCUCUGGGUCAUUAAACGCUCAGCUGAGCAUUCUUGCUACUCGGCCUCUGUGUGUGCUCUGUAUAUAUGGGCAGUGGAGCUUCCCGCCCAGCUA